UGGGGAAUUUUGCACAAUGGGCGCAAGCCUGAUGCAGCGACGCCGCGUGAGGGAUGAAGGCCUUCGGGUUGUAAACCUUUUUCGCUCAUGGUCAAGCCGCAGCUUUGGGUUGUGGUGAGGGUAGUGGGUAAAGAAGCGCCGGCUAACCACGUGCCAGCAGCCGCGGUAAUACGUAGGGCGCGAGCGUUGUCCGGAAUUAUUGGGCGUAAAGGGCUUGUAGGCGGUUGGCCGCGUCUGCCGUGAAAUCCUCUGGCUUAACUGGGGGCGUGCGGUGGGUACGGGUUGACUUGAGUGCGGUAGGGGAGACUGGAAUUCCUGGUGUAGCGGUGGAAUGCGCAGAUAUCAGGAGGAACACCGGUGGCGAAGGCGGGUCUCUGGGCCGUUACUGACGCUGAGGAGCGAAAGCGUGGGGAGCGAACAGG
rnacentral:rRNA from 1 species